AGAACGAACGCUGGCGGCAGGCUUAACACAUGCAAGUCGAACGCCCCGCAAGGGGAGUGGCAGACGGGUGAGUAACGCGUGGGAAUCUACCCAGUUCUACGGAAUAACACAGGGAAACUUGUGCUAAUACCGUAUACGCCCUACGGGGGAAAGAUUUAUCGGGAUUGGAUGAGCCCGCGUUGGAUUAGCUAGUUGGUGGGGUAAUGGCCUACCAAGGCGACGAUCCAUAGCUGGUCUGAGAGGAUGAUCAGCCACACUGGGACUGAGACACGGCCCAGACUCCUACGGGAGGCAGCAGUGGGGAAUAUUGGACAAUGGGCGCAAGCCUGAUCCAGCCAUGCCGCGUGAGUGAUGAAGGCCUUAGGGUUGUAAAGCUCUUUCGAGUGGGGAAGAUAAUGACGGUACCCACAGAAGAAGCCCCGGCUAACUUCGUGCCAGCAGCCGC
rnacentral:rRNA from 1 species